UCGUACCUUUCCAAAUCAGGUACGUCUUCCGGUGAAAAAGGCAAGAUUCUCCUUCGCCUACCUGACGUCAUAGUUUGACUGCCCUUCGCUUCCGUAUUGAAAAACCACUAGGUUAUCCUGUUGACCACUCCUUUAAACUCCGCUGAUAGGUUGUGUUCAUUGUUGCGAUAUCUUUCUACGCCGAUCCUUCGUUUACUGGUAUAUACGACUUGGAAUUUCGACCCUCGCAUUAGUCAUGGUUAAAACCAGGAGUAAAUCGAUUAUGGCGGGUGCUUCCCCAACUCAAUUGGAAAGCAAAUAAAGGAGAAUAAAACGUCGGGUCAAAGUGAAAUCUCCCCAGGCUAUGUCUAAGCGUCGGACACAGAGUCAAUCGAUUUCAGAGGUACAUGUAGCCGCGAAAUUGUAAGGGAAUCGGACCCGACGAUGUCUAGGUGUAAAAGAAGUUGCUGAGAGUUUAAACUAUCAUACUGCAAGUGUCUGUUGUGUUGUCUCUCUCGAGAAUGAUGGUCAGGAGGAUACAUCUGGACGUGAAUGUGGUGGCGAUCCAACUAUUAAGUUUACUCAUGGUGAGAAGUCAUUGCCAGAACGGUUUUUUUCAACGGACCGAUAUCCGCCGAACAGCAGGGUGAAUUGAUACUCAAAGCCGCAAUAUCUUCUUGACACCUUGGACAUUGAUGGGCUUCUGAGUUGGCGAUGCUAAAAAAAAUCUCAGUUCGGGUCAUUAUUUUCGUUCCCAUUUCGGCGAUGUUUAUUAUCUGGUAUACUUGUUCAUAACUUUCUAUGUUGCCAAAUUGUGACUACCAACUCACAUGAAUUGUGGUUUACAUGUGGUGGCUCGCCUUUCAGAUUCUCUAUUGUCGAGUCUCAAAAAGUGAUUGGGUUGUGUUGAUAUCAGAAACAACAACUAGAAAGAUUUAACUGAGAAAUAAGAUCUAGGCAGAAUUUCGGUAUAAAUCGACAAGAACAAUGAAGA